GUUAAUGCAAUGCCCAAAUAGCUAGGCGUACACCCAUAACCUCAAAAAUCGAAUGAAGCUAGCUAGCUAAUUAUGACCAUUUUUGAAGGUUGAAUCAGUGAAUAAGGUAUGUGAGCACCAAUGCCACUAGCAUUAGAACAUAUGCUAUUCCUUGGUCUAUCGUGGUGCCGUCGCUUGUGGGGGAAGGAGCAGAAGCAGGGGAUUGAGCAUGAGCCAAAGGCAAGAUAAUGGCAUAAAGAACAGCAAUGGUGACCAAAACUCCAAAGGAAAACCUACAAAAGGCCAUUUCUUCUGUGU
rnacentral:misc_RNA from 1 species